rnacentral:sRNA from 1 species
GCUGUUUAGUGCCGGUGUUGCAGGGAGUGAGGGCAGCCGGAGUGCGUUCUGGCGAAGCUUGUGGUUGCACGCCCAUCCUCUUAGGGGCUACCUUCCGUGCGGUGCCACCAAACAUCGCAGAACUGAAGAAUUUGGAGGUGCUCAACUUUUUUAAUAACCAAAUCGAGGAGCUGCCCACACAGAUCAGUAGCCUUCAGAAACUCAAACACCUGAACCUUGGCAUGAACAGGCUGAACACUUUGCCACGAGGCUUCGGCUCCCUGCCAGCUCUUGAGGUUCUGGACUUGACUUACAACAACUUGAGCGAAAAUUCUCUUCCUGGAAACUUCUUCUACCUGACCACCCUGCGUGCACUCUAUCUAAGUGACAACGAUUUUGAAAUCCUGCCGCCAGAUAUUGGGAAGCUCACAAAGUUGCAGAUACUCAGCCUUAGGGAUAACGACCUGAUCUCGCUGCCUAAGGAAAUCGGGGAGCUUACCCAGCUUAAAGAGCUCCACAUUCAGGGGAACCGCCUCACCGUUCUGCCCCCAGAACUAGGUAAGAUGGGAGGCCACAUCCUGUUCCCUUGUGGUAGGCAUCUUGGCAAAAACCACCAACUGGCAGCCUGUGUUGUGAGGAAUGCACAUUAAUUAGUUCCUUGAAACUCUUCCCUCAUUAACUCCAGGAAACUUGGAUUUAACUGGCCAGAAGCAGGUAUUCAAAGCAGAGAACAAUCCCUGGGUGACCCCCAUUGCAGACCAGUUCCAGCUUGGCGUGUCCCAUGUUUUUGAGUAUAUCCGUUCUGAGACAUACAAAUACCUCUACGGCAGACACAUGCAGGCCAACCCAGAACCACCGAAGAAGAAUAAUGACAAAUCGAAAAAGAUCAGCCGGAAACCCCUGGCAGCCAAGAACAGAUAAGGAAGGGAUUGGCAUCGGCUGGCCUUCCAGCACCUUCUCUCUCCAACACUUCAUUCUCUCUUGCUCUGUCUCUCAAAUAAACCCAAUGCGUGUGAGGCCUUUUUUAUUUUUCUUUUCACUCUCUUUCUAAUGCUUCCCACCUUACCUUUUAGAUUCUUUUGCUAGGUGGGAGAUUUUUAUAAGGUCUUUAAACCAUUUCCAUUUGUUUCUUUAACAUUACCAAAAGCAGGGAACAAAG